rnacentral:miRNA from 1 species
UGUUGUUGGUGUUGUUGAUAAUGAUGAUAAGGAUGGUGAUGCAGGAGAAACAUGCUCACCACCAUCAUCAUUAUCAUCACUUCAUCAUCAUCAUCA